GGUUAAGCGACUAAGCGUACACGGUGGAUGCCCUGGCAGUCAGAGGCGAUGAAGGACGUGCUAAUCUGCGAUAAGCGUCGGUAAGGUGAUAUGAACCGUUAUAACCGGCGAUUUCCGAAUGGGGAAACCCAGUGUGAUUCGUCACACUAUCAUUAACUGAAUCCAUAGGUUAAUGAGGCGAACCGGGGGAACUGAAACAUCUAAGUACCCCGAGGAAAAGAAAUCAACCGAGAUUCCCCCAGUAGCGGCGAGCGAACGGGGAGGAGCCCAGAGCCUGAAUCAGUGUGUGUGUUAGUGGAAGCGUCUGGAAAGGCGCGCGAUACAGGGUGACAGCCCCGUACACAAAAAUGCACAUGCUGUGAGCUCGAUGAGUAGGGCGGGACACGUGGUA
rnacentral:rRNA from 1 species